rnacentral:rRNA from 1 species
AGGGUUUGAUCAUGGCUCAGGAUGAACGCUAGCGGCAGGCCUAACACAUGCAAGUCGAGGGGUAACAGGAAAGCUUGCUUUCGCUGACGACCGGCGCACGGGUGCGUAACGCGUAUGCAACCUACCUCAUACUGGAGGAUAGCCCCUGGAAACGGGGAUUAAUACUCCAUAGUAUCACGAAUUCGCAUGUUUUUGUGAUUAAAGUUUUUCGGUAUGAGAUGGGCAUGCGUCCCAUUAGCUUGUUGGUGAGGUAACGGCUCACCAAGGCAACGAUGGGUAGGGGGCCUGAGAGGGUGGUCCCCCACACUGGUACUGAGACACGGACCAGACUCCUACGGGAGGCAGCAGUGAGGAAUAUUGGUCAAUGGAGGCAACUCUGAACCAGCCAUGCCGCGUGAAGGAUGACGGCCCUAUGGGUUGUAAACUUCUUUUAUAGAGGAAGAAACUUGUCUACGUGUAGACAACUGACGGUACUCUACGAAUAAGGAUCGGCUAACUCCGUGCCAGCAGCCGCGGUAAUACGGAGGAUCCAAGCGUUAUCCGGAUUCAUUGGGCUUAAAGGGUCCGUAGGCGGGUCUUUAAGUCAGUGGUGAAAGCCGACAGCUCAACUGUCGAACUGCCAUUGAUACUGGAGACCUUGAGUACAAAUGAAGUAGGCGGAAUGAGUCAUGUAGCGGUGAAAUGCAUAGAUAUGACUCAGAACACCGAUUGCGAAGGCAGCUUACUAACAUGUAACUGACGCUGAGGGACGAAAGCGUGGGGAGCGAACAGGAUUAGAUACCCUGGUAGUCCACGCCGUAAACGAUCAUCACUCGCUGUUGGCGAUAUACUGUCAGCGGCCAAGCGAAAGUAUUAAGUGAUGCACCUGGGGAGUACGCCGG